rnacentral:rRNA from 1 species
AUGAACGCUGGCGGCGUGCCUAAUACAUGCAAGUCGAGCGAACAGACGAGGAGCUUGCUCCUCUGACGUUAGCGGCGGACGGGUGAGUAACACGUGGAUAACCUACCUAUAAGACUGGGAUAACUUCGGGAAACCGGAGCUAAUACCGGAUAAUAUAUUGAACCGCAUGGUUCAAUAGUGAAAGACGGUUUUGCUGUCACUUAUAGAUGGAUCCGCGCCGCAUUAGCUAGUUGGUAAGGUAACGGCUUACCAAGGCAACGAUGCGUAGCCGACCUGAGAGGGUGAUCGGCCACACUGGAACUGAGACAAGGUCCAGACUCCUACGGGAGGCAGCAGUAGGGAAUCUUCCGCAAUGGGCGAAAGCCUGACGGAGCAACGCCGCGUGAGUGAUGAAGGUCUUCGGAUCGUAAAACUCUGUUAUUAGGGAAGAACAAAUGUGUAAGUAACUAUGCACGUCUUGACGGUACCUAAUCAGAAAGCCACGGCUAACUACGUG